GUGGUGGCUCAGUGGUAGAGGUUUGCCUAGCAUGUGUGAGGCCCUGGGUUCAAUCCACAGCACCACA
rnacentral:tRNA from 1 species